UCAGGGGAUGAAAAGGGGAAGGAAGGGAUUAGAGGAGAUCUGCUCAGCUGUGGAUCCACAGAAGGCAGGGUCGGUGAUGACCUCCACCAUGGCCCGGUUCCCUCUUCUCCUCACCCUCCUCAUCCACUGCACAGGGUCCUGGGCCCAGUCUGUGCUGACUCAGCCGCCCUCAGUGUCUGGGGGCCUGGGCCAGACGGUCACCAUCUCCUGCGCUGGAAGUGCCAACAACAUUGGUAUUGUUGGUGUGAACUGGUACCAGCAGCUUCCAGGAAAGGCCCCUAAACUCCUCAUCUAUGCUAAUAACAGACGACCCUCAAGUGUUCCUGACAGAUUUUCUGGCUCCAAGUCUGGCAACACAGGCUCCUUGACCAUCACUGGGCUCCAGGCAGAGGACGAGGCUGAUUAUUACUGCUUGUCUGCUGACAUUACUCAAGGUGCUGACACAGUGCUCCAGGCCUGUGGGGAAGUGAGACAAAAACCUGCUGUCCCCACAGCAAUGGGACUUCCUGUGCAGGCCUGACUUUUUGGCCAAGUCAUGUGCUUCCUUGUUUGUUUUGUACAAAUUAGGGUCUGAGACCCUCCACAAGCAA